AGCGAACGCUGGCGGCAGGCCUAACACAUGCAAGUCGAGCGCCGUAGCAAUACGGAGCGGCAGACGGGAGAGUAACACGUGGGAACGUACCCUUUGGUUCGGAACAACCCAGGGAAACUUGGGCUAAUACCGGAUAAGCCCUCACGGGGAAAGAUUCAUCGCCGAAGGAUCGGCCCGCGUCUGAUUAGCUAGUUGGUGGGGGAAUGGCCCACCAGGGCGACGAUCAGUAGCUGGUGUGAGAGGAUGAUCAGCCUCACUGGGACUGAGACACGGCCCAGACUCCUACGGGAGGCAGCAGUGGGGAAUAUUGGACAAUGGGCGCAAGCCUGAUCCAGCCAUGCCGCGUGGGUGAUGAAGGCCCUAGGGUUGUAAAGCCCUUUCGGCGGGGAAGAUAAUGACGGUACCCGCAGAAGAAGCCCCGGCUAACUUCGUGCCAGCAGCCGCGGUAAAAC
rnacentral:rRNA from 1 species